rnacentral:rRNA from 1 species
UACGUAGGUGGCAAGCGUUGUUCGGAAUUAUUGGGCGUAAAGGGCGCGUAGGCGGCUUGUUAAGUCGGCUGUGAAAGCCCGGGGCUCAACCCCGGAGGGUCAGCCGAUACUGGCAGGCUAGAGUACGGAAGAGGUAGCUGGAAUUCCCGGUGUAGCGGUGAAAUGCGCAGAUAUCGGGAGGAACACCAAUGGCGAAGGCAGCUCGCUGGGACGUGACUGACGCUGAGACGCGAAAGCGUGGGGGAGCAAACAGGG